GGGCCCGCACAAGCGGUGGAGCAUGUGGUUUAAUUCGAUGAUACGCGAGGAACCUUACCAGGGCUUAAAUGGGAAAUGACAGGGGCAGAGACGCCCCCUUCUUCGGACAUUUUUCAAGGUGCUGCAUGGUUGUCGUCAGCUCGUGCCGUGAGGUGUCAGGUUAAGUCCUAUAACGAGCGCAACCCCUACCGUUAGUUGCCAGCGUGUAAUGACGGGGACUCUAACGGAACUGCCGGUGCAAACCGUGAGGAAGGUGGGGACGACGUCAAAUCAUCACGGCCCUUACGUCCUGGGCCACACACGUGCUACAAUGGUAGGUACAGAGGGAAGCCACUUCGCAAGAAGGAGCGAAUCCUUAAAACCGGUCUCAGUUCGGAUCGGGGUCUGCAACUCGGCCCCGUGAAGCUGGAAUC
rnacentral:rRNA from 1 species